UGGUCGCGAGCACAUGGAAGUGAGGUCGAGAUUUGUGUCUGUGAAACGCGACUGAUCAUCAGAAAAAAGGGAAUAUAAAAGCGAUAAAGCGGCAUCAGAAGCUCAGAGUAAAGCGGGCGGCUGGUGUUGCAGACCCUCAUGCAGACCCGAGUUUUCACUGCAGCUGUUGCACCCGGAGACGACUGGAGAUACUGAUCUGAAUGGGAAGGAUGCAAAGAGGACACAGAUACACCCUGAAUGGGCCCCUGUGGUGAUCUACAUUGUGGUUGGGAAGUACCUAGUCUUACAACUGCCAUGCUGGUCUGCUUAAAGGGGCAGUGCUGAUCACUUUUAUGUGCAGUAUGUUUUCUUGUCAGGGAGUUUCGGUCACCUGUAGUUUGUCACCUGCAUUAAUCCCUGCAGUCUGUAAAUAAUCAGGAUGUCAAAUAGUCUCAAUGGAGUUGCAGGAGACUGAAAUACCCUUUUCUCACCAACAUAAGCACAUAUAUGGGGGUCAUUUAAAUGUGGGAAAACCUGUGCAACAGACUUCUUUCCCAUUGCCAGUACACAAAUAUGCCUCUCUGUUUUUUGUGUCAUGUUCCUGUUCCUCCUAAUAGUUUGGAAAAAUGCCCCAUUGGACCAAAAACCCAAUGAUCCAAUGACCAUGAAAUAGUUGUUGGAGUCCAUUUACUGCUGGGGUUUUACUACUACCAGACUUCCUUGACUUAUUGCUCAAUUUAACAGAUCUGAGUUCCCAGUUACAUAGAUGAUACUCCAAAAUCAUAACUUAACUUAAUAUGACUCCGAAAGAAGGACUCUGUUUGACAUCCCGAAACACAGCCAGUCAGCAUAUCCUCGCAACUUUUAGUUGAUUUCUGCUCUGCAAAACAUGACAAAUAUAUCACAAAUGUAAAACUGUAAAAAGUCUGUGUGAUGAGUUAAUUAAAUCAAGUUUUCAAAGUUUUCUACCAUUUGAGUACAACCUACAAUAACAUAUUGUUAAAUAUAACAGAGCUGACCUUACCAGUAAACAUCUACUCCUUCUAAAAGAUACGAUACGAUAAACCGACAUUAACUCAUGCAAAACAUGUUAGUGUAAAUCAGUAUUAAUUUCAGCUCCAUGAAAAGUGAAUGAACCUGAUGUUCGGCUGCCUGUCUGCCUGAACAACGGACUUUACACAUCUUUAUAGCUGCUGAUUUAUUCAACGUACUACAAGGAGUUUGUAGUUUGUAGACCUAUAGAAGCAAACUAGACCCUCAGCAAGAAUUAUGAGUAUUUCUAUACAGUCAGUUUAAAUACCUUUCACAGUGCCACUGAGUCGGAUUCUGUCAAAAUCAUAUGAAAUCUAAACUAGAACCUCCUUUGGCUCAGACUCCAGUGCCACAACUGCCGCUUUCCUACAAAGGCCAGAUGUUGGUGUGUUUUUAUCCAGUGGUAAAGUGGCUAUGUUGAUUUUUACUUCAUUCAUAUUUUCAUGCUUAAAAAGAAGGAAAAAGGAAGUCAAAUUUUCCCAACUUGACAAACUGCUUGGGUCAUGAGAAUUUUGGACCAGAGUACAUUGAUAAUUCAUGAUUUAGUGUAAAUGAAGUCAAACCACAGCGAGGUGAAAGAGGAAUGGAAUUUGUGUUGCAAUACUUUAUAAAACCGCAUAAAUUUUUACUUCAGCGUGCACGCUCUGUGUGUCUUUCCUCUUAGUCUACACUGUUGUAUGUUUUGAAAAAGCUGCACACUUGUCUGAAUAAAUCUUUCACCCUGGCAGAUG